AUUGAACGCUGGCGGCAUGCUUUACACAUGCAAGUCGAACGGCAGCACGGGUGCUUGCACCUGGUGGCGAGUGGCGGACGGGUGAGUAAUGCAUCGGAACGUGUCCUGAAGUGGGGAUAACGCAUCGAAAGAUGUGCUAAUACCGCAUAUUCUCUGAGGAGGAAAGUAGGGGAUCGAAAGACCUUAUGCUUUUGGAGCGGCCGAUGUCUGAUUAGCUAGUUGGUAGGGUAAUGGCUUACCAAGGCGACGAUCAGUAGUUGGUCUGAGAGGACGACCAGCCACACUGGGACUGAGACACGGCCCAGACUCCUACGGGAGGCAGCAGUGGGGAAUUUUGGACAAUGGGCGCAAGCCUGAUCCAGCAAUGCCGCGUGAGUGAAGAAGGCCUUCGGGUUGUAAAGCUCUUUCAGUUGAGAAGAAAAAGUCGUGACUAAUAAUCAUGAUUCAUGACGGUAUCAACAGAAGAAGCACCGGCUAACUACGUG
rnacentral:rRNA from 1 species